AAGCCUGUAAUUAUGUCUUUGUUUGGUGCUUUUUUCUGUAUGCAGAUGUCCAGAAUAUACCUGAUGUGGUUCAACCUGCACCGGUGCAUCAGCAGACCGGUGGCACUAUCACAACAGAAGUGCCAUGUUUAAAUGAAGAGUGUAUAAGCAUCACUACAUCAACAUCUACAGAUACUGUUCCAGUGGCAGACACAAUGCCAACUGUAGAAACAGUUUCGCCUGUAGAUAGUGUCUCAGCUGCAGAUGAGGUUCCAGCUCCAACUCAAGCUCCAACAUCCAUCAGUGAAGUGCAGCAGGACAAGGACACAAUGAUGAUUACAUGUUACUUCUGGUUGAGGAAAUCCACCCGACUCAGGCUAACAAGAUCACCUGGAUGCUUUUGGAGGGUGUGAACAAUUUUGAGAUCAUGGACAUGAUUGGAUAUCCUGAGCUCCUGCGUACCAGGGACAUGCUCCUGAAGGCCAGGGAAGCUGGUUACAAGCAGGAAACCCUGUAUAUGUUAUUUAACAAGAAGAAGAAGAACAAGAACAAGAAAAGAAAGAAUCAAUAAACACUGCAACUAGUAUUGCACAUAUUAUUAAGUAAUUUGGGUCUUGAUUAUUGUCUUUUAUUUAGAAUUUAAAGAUUGUAAAUAAAUUAGCUCCAGAGUGUUAAAAUCUUAAGUAUUAACUGAGAAGAAUUAACGUCGCAGAGUCAAAACUCAGAGAUUAAGUUGUAAAAGGCUGAGUUAGAUAAAGAACAGAGGUUUGACCUGAUUGCUGAGACUUCGUCAGAAAAGGGGGAAUAUUCUUCAAAUAGUGUCUUGUCAAAUCUGAGAAUAACUUCUCUAAUAGACCAUGAGCACCCUAGUUAUCUCAGAAAUCUCCAUCCAUCCAUCCAUCUUCUACCGCUUACUCCUUCUUCAGGGUCGUAGCUCAGAAAUCUGAAAUGAUCUUAAAUCUGAAUGUACAUAACAUUAU